GCCGGAUUGGCGGAAUGGCAGACGCGGAGCACUCAAAAUGCUUUGUUCGUAAGGACGUGCGGGUUCGAGUCCCGCAUCCGGCA
rnacentral:tRNA from 1 species